AACUAUUACAGUUCUUUUAGAAUUUUUUCUAGUAAGUUUUCCUGACUUUGGUUGGAAAAUCCAA